CAGACCGUCAAGAUGGGCACCCCGGAUCGUCCUCAGUGACCCCUGAAACCCCCCCAGAGGAACUCACCCACCCACAAAGACGCAGCAGGCAGACUGAAGUGAUGCAGAGAGGGGAAAUCAGAAAGACGACAGCGCUGUUUAUCGCGUCUCCUCCCUUCAGAGUUAAAAUGCCUUCGCUCUGACCUCGGAUCAGACACACUCACCUGCUCCGACACGGGCCAGCUGGAAUUUAUGAUGGGGGCAGUAAUGAGCCCAUUCUGGCUAAAUGGACCAGAUUGAAGAUGCCGUGCUUGGUCUGGCAAAUCAAACGUAUGUCGGGUUAACUUCCCCAGAGAAAGAACACAACGGUCCCUAACCAGCCACUGGUUCCUCCUGCAGACGUCCAUCUUUAAAAAUGCUUCACAGAUGUACAGUUUUAUUGUUGAAAGGGUCUAACUUCCUAGAACAGCUGGUCACUGUAGCAAAUGCAAUUGUUGGGGUCUGUUUAAUCUAAGCUCCAGUGAGAAUUUGAGGCAGCCGGAAAGCAAUUCAGCUUGGAUCAGGACUUGGGAUUUGCUAAGAAGAAUAUAGAAAAUCACCAGAAUGCUUCCAUCAAAAUAAAUCUGAAAAAAAAAAAGUAUCUGAACAAUAUAUAAUGUCAUACCUUCAUACAGGUCAUGUGACACAGACUCCAUUCUCUGAAGAAAAGAA